UCUAUCCCUUCUCUUCUCCCCCUUCUGAUCGCCAAAAAGCCGACUCCAGCGCUAAAAAAAACCAUCAUCUCAUGCUGAGAGCAAUGGCAGCAGUACGUCUCUCUCCCUUCCCCUCUCUCUUCAAACCAAACCUCACCAUCUUCACUCCCUCUCGCCAAACCCUAGCUAAACUCUCUCUCAAAACCCCCAGAAGACCUCUCGCUACAGGUCCCCUCUCCUCUGAAACCCUAAAAACCCCACCUUUGAUCCCUUCGAUCUCCCCGAACUCUCUCGAGCUCGAUCCCUAUCUCAGGUGCUCGAUGCCCGGAGGGCGGCUGAAGGUCGCCGUUCUCCUCAGCGGCGGCGUGGACAGCAGCGUUGCUCUUCGCCUUCUCCACGCUGCUGGUCAUUCUUGCACCGCGUUCUACCUUAAGAUUUGGUUUCAGGAAGACUUUGAAAAUUUCUGGUCUGAGUGCCCAUGGGAUGACGAUCUAAGGUACGCAAGAGCUGUCUGCGAAAAGGUUGACGUUCCUCUGGAAGUUGCCCAUUUGACAGAUGAGUACUGGAAUAAUGUGGUAUCUCACAUAAUCAGCGAGUAUCGUUCUGGUCGUACUCCAAAUCCUGAUGUCCUUUGCAAUACAAGAAUUAAGUUUGGUGCUUUUCUGGAAGCAGUUGAGAGCAUGAAGUUUGAUUAUGUUGCUUCAGGACAUUAUGCACGUGUUACUCACUCAUCCCUUGAUGGAAAUGACAUGCCUUCUAUUCUAUCAUUGUCUAAGGACAUGGUUAAGGAUCAGACGUAUUUUCUCUCACAUCUAUCACAGAAGCAGCUUAAACGGCUUCUUUUACCGCUUGGUUGUAUCUCAAAGGACGAAGUUCGUAGGCUUGCAACUCUGAUGGAUCUUCCAAAUAAAGACAGGAAGGAUUCACAAGGAAUAUGUUUUCUUGGAAAGGUGAAGUUCAGUGAAUUUGUUGCAAAGCAUAUUGGGGAGCAAGAGGGUAUAAUUCUUGAAGCUGAGACAGGAGAUUACCUUGGGGAUCAUAGGGGUUUUUGGUUUUAUACUGUUGGCCAGCGCCAGGGUCUGCGCCUUCCUGGAGGACCAUGGUAUGUUGUUGAAAAGGAUGUGCAAAAUAACGUAGUCUUUGUUUCAAGAAACUACUAUUCACUGGAUAAAAAGAGGCGCAAGUUCCGUGUGGGAACAUUGAAAUGGAUCAGUGGCUCACCACCUAAGAAGAGUCAACUUCGGUGCAAGGUUCGACAUGGUCCUAGUUUUCAUAACUGCAGCAUAACUAUGGAGUCUGAUGACACUGGCUAUGGGGAGGUCGUGACUGUAGAUCUAUCGGAAGAUGAUCAGGGCUUAGCUGCAGGUCAAUUUGCAGCUUUCUAUGAUGGUGAUAGCUGCAUUGGUUCAGGUGUAAUUUUGGACUCUUGGGAUGAUAAGAGCUUUCCCAUCUGUGCAAAAGCUCUAGAGAUUGCACAACUGCAAGACAAAUCAAAGCUAGGAAAACCUGUGAGAAUAUUCAAUCAGGAAACUGCUGACUGCAAAAGAUAGCACAGAACUGCACAUUGAUCCUUUGGGUAUUUCUGUUACUACUGACAACUAGGAAUUCUUCUGUGAUUAGGAUGAAAUACAAUGCAUAUUCAUGAAGAAAAAAAUAUUGAAGAGCUUAUGAUCUGCAAUAGCCACAAGAUCCACUAUCAGAUAUUCUGUAGUUAAUAAAAGUGAUAAAAUUUGCAGUCCCUAGAGGUUCUGCAUUGGAACCCCCGAAAGCAGCCAAUUGUGUGGAGUGAGAAAUUUUCAGUGCAUUGGAAGAGUUAUGGAAACCGCAUCAGUGACAACCAGCUGCAAUGGCACCCAAAGCAACAGCCAGACUGAGUCCCUUCUUGUACGUUCCGCUCCUCGCUGGUGCAGGCGCAGGAGCCGAAACUAAAGAUACCGGAAGGGGCUCAUGACCCAACAUCAAAGCCGGAGGAUAUGGAACCCUGAUGUCGACUUUUUGGCCAGCGGCACAGCGGGUGGCGUUGCUGGAG